rnacentral:lncRNA from 1 species
UGAACCUGGGUUCAGACACUGCCGUUGCUGUGGGUGAGCGGCUGUUCUGCCUGUGGAGCAGCAUCGGGUGGGUGGUUGCCUGGCACCGUGACUGUUAGGAGAACUUCUGCAUGGCCGGGGUGUACUUUAUGGGGGGUGCGGCCCCCUGUAAUCGCUCUGCAGUCUGGGCACCCUGUGAUGGGGGCCUGGUCCUCAUCUGCGGCUGCCUCGGCUGGCUCCGAUGUGAGCCAAGUUGGGAUCUUUCCAGAGACCCCUCAAUUCGGGACUUCCUCCAAAGGACACAUCUUCCGACACUGGAAGAAGCUUUCAAAAGAGCUCCCCAAAGGAUCCCAUCCAGGGUGCCGCAUCCCAUUCAGUCGUCAUGUCUCCUAGGCUGCUCUGGUCUGUGACAGUUUCUUACUGUUCCUUGCUUUUGAUGAACUUGACCGCUUUGGGGAGUACAACUCCAAUGUUUUGCGAAAUGCCCUCCGAUCUGAGUAUGUCUGAUGUUUUCAUCAUGGUUAGACCAGGAUGAUGGGUUUCUGUCACGUCGUAUCAGUAGAGGGUACAUGAUACCCACAUGGCCUUGUUUUUACUUUUAAGAAAUUCUGGAAAUGUCAACAAUACUGCAUAUUUCUUAUGGGAUGUGUAUCUGUAUCUCAGCCAUCGUAUGUGGUAAGAUGUUAACAUUGCACUCUCCUGCAAUCUGUCUCACUCAAUCUCAGAGUCGUGGAGGUCCCCACACCAAAGGGACCCCUGUGGUUAACUCUGAGGGAGGGUGGUGGGGACUAGUUAUGGUCCCCUGGAACCUGUGAAUGUGACCGUAUUUGGGAAAAGUGUCUUUGCAAAUAUAGUUUAGGAUCUCAAGAUGAAAUCCCCCUGGAUUCGUGCAGGCCCCAAGUCCAAUGACAAGUGUCCUUAGGAGAGAAGAGAAGAGGAGACACACACAGGAGCAGUCUAUGUGAAGUCGCAGGCAGA